AGCGUAGGAGCCGGGCCAAAGAAGGCACUCACCCCAUGAAGCCCUUCGGGGUGGAUUAGUGGCGAACGGGUGAGUAACACGUGGGCAAUCUGCCCUGCACUCUGGGACAAGCCCUGGAAACGGGGUCUAAUACCGGAUACUGAUCGCCUUGGGCAUCCUUGGUGAUCGAAAGCUCCGGCGGUGCAGGAUGAGCCCGCGGCCUAUCAGCUUGUUGGUGAGGUAAUGGCUCACCAAGGCGACGACGGGUAGCCGGCCUGAGAGGGCGACCGGCCACACUGGGACUGAGACACGGCCCAGACUCCUACGGGAGGCAGCAGUGGGGAAUAUUGCACAAUGGGCGAAAGCCUGAUGCAGCGCGGCCGCGUGAGGGAUGACGGCCUUCGGGUUGUAAACCUCUUUCAGCAGGGAAGAAGCGAAAGUGACGGUACCUGCAGAAGAAGCGCCGGCUAACUACGUGCCAGCAGCCGCGGUAAUACGUAGGGCGCGAGCGUUGUCCGGAAUUAUUGGGCGUAAAGAGCUCGUAGGCGGCUUGUCGCGUCGGUUGUGAAAGCCCGGGGCUUAACCCCGGGUCUGCAGUCGAUACGGGCAGGCUAGAGUUCGGUAGGGGAGAUCGGAAUUCCUGGUGUAGCGGUGAAAUGCGCAGAUAUCAGGAGGAACACCGGUGGCGAAGGCGGAUCUCUGGGCCGAUACUGACGCUGAGGAGCGAAAGCGUGGGGAGCGAACAGGAUUAGAUACCCUGGUAGUCCACGCCGUAAACG
rnacentral:rRNA from 1 species